rnacentral:lncRNA from 1 species
UAGAGUAUAGGGUUUAGUAUGAACGACUUUAACCAUGUUAAAAAAAUUCGUUUUUUAUUGCCAUUACAUUUUUUUAUUUAUUUUUUAUCCUUUUAUUUUUAAAAAUAAAUUCUAAAUAUUUUAUUUCCUUUUUAAAUUGUCAAUCUUGUUGUUGGUUUAUUGAACUGCCUACAUUUAGAGUGUAUCCCUUAUAUAUUAAAAGAUGAGCAUUGCAGUUAAUGCGUUUACACCAAUAUUGACACAUGUCGUUUAGAGAGACACU